GAGCGCACUCUUCGGAGUGAGCGGCAGACGGGUGAGUAACGCGUGGGAAUCUACCCAUCUCUACGGAAUAACUCAGGGAAACUUGUGCUAAUACCGUAUACGCCCUUCGGGGGAAAGAUUUAUCGGAGAUGGAUGAGCCCGCGUUUGAUUAGCUAGUUGGUGGGGUAAAGGCCUACCAAGGCGACGAUCAAUAGCUGGUCUGAGAGGAUGAUCAGCCACACUGGGACUGAGACACGGCCCAGACUCCUACGGGAGGCAGCAGUGGGGAAUAUUGGACAAUGGGCGCAAGCCUGAUCCAGCCAUGCCGCGUGAGUGAUGAAGGCCCUAGGGUUGUAAAGCUCUUUCAACGGUGAAGAUAAUGACGGUAACCGUAGAAGAAGCCCCGGCUAACUUCGUGCCAGCAGCCGCGGUAAUACGAAGGGGGCUAGCGUUGUUCGGAAUUACUGGGCGUAAAGCGCACGUAGGCGGAUCGUUAAGUGAGGGGUGAAAUCCCAGG
rnacentral:rRNA from 1 species